rnacentral:rRNA from 1 species
GAUGAACGCUGGCGGCGUGCCUAAUACAUGCAAGUCGAGCGAACAGACGAGGAGCUUGCUCCUCUGACGUUAGCGGCGGACGGGUGAGUAACACGUGGAUAACCUACCUAUAAGACUGGGAUAACUUCGGGGAACCGGAGCUAAUACCGGAUAAUAUAUUGAACCGCAUGGUUCAAUAGUGAAAGACGGUUUUGCUGUCACUUAUAGAUGGAUCCGCGCCGCAUUAGCUAGUUGGUAAGGUAACGGCUUACCAAGGCAACGAUGCGUAGCCGACCUGAGAGGGUGAUCGGCCACACUAGAACUGAGACACGGUCCAGACUCCUACGGGAGGCAGCAGUAGGGAAUCUUCCGCAAUGGGCGAAAGCCUGACGGAGCAGCGCCGCGUGAGUGAUGAAGGUCUUCGGAUCGUAAAACUCUGUUAUUAGGAAAGAACAAAUGUGUAAGUAACUAUGCGCGUCUUGACGGUACCUAAUCAGAAAGCCACGGCUAACUACGUG